CCUACGGGGUGCUGCAGUGGGGAAUAUUGGACAAUGCGCGAAAGCCUGAUCCAGCCAUGCCGCGUGUGUGAAGAAGGCCUUCGGGUUGUAAAGCACUUUCAGUGGGGAAGAAAGCCUUGGGGCUAAUACCCUCGAGGAAGGACAUCACCCACAGAAGAAGCACCGGCUAACUCCGUGCCAGCAGCCGCGGUAAUACGGAGGGUGCGAGCGUUAAUCGGAAUUACUGGGCGUAAAGCGCGCGUAGGCGGUCUGAUAAGCCGGUUGUGAAAGCCCCGGGCUCAACCUGGGAACGGCAUCCGGAACUGUCAGGCUAGAGUGCAGGAGAGGAAGGUAGAAUUCCCGGUGUAGCGGUGAAAUGCGUAGAGAUCGGGAGGAAUACCAGUGGCGAAGGCGGCCUUCUGGACUGACACUGACGCUGAGGUGCGAAAGCGUGGGUAGCAAACAGGAUUAGAUACCCUGGUAGUC
rnacentral:rRNA from 1 species